CUGCCGCUGCUGCUGCCGGCGCAUCAGCAACAGAUUCAAUUCCGGCAGCGACUGCGGCAGCGCCGUCCGACUCCGAAACAAAAAGGUAUAUUACCUUAGAAUGCCAGUCGUUCUUACUUCAGUCUUCGUACAGUCUUUGCUUUAACCCGUUCCAACUCUGUCCGCCUCUCAGCUCGUUGGCUCUUUAUAGGAAUUGAAUCAAAUCACUUAGUAUAACAGCAGCAGUAGCAUAGGGUCGGUAGCCCGUGUCGUUCUUUUUCCUGGCUCCGUUCAGCCAUCAUCGAAAGUUGGCGUCGCAGUCGCCGUCGCCGUCAGCGCCCUAAAACCAACCACCGACACACACCUCCGCCAACGACAGCGACAUCCUCUCCUCCACCGCUAGUAUCAACAUCAGCAGCAGCAACAGCACGGCAGCAACAGCACGGCAGAACCAUCAGCAGCAGCAGCAAGAGCCACCAGAACACUCUCUCACACACUUUUCACUCCACUCACUCACGAAUUUCAAUAUCCAAAUCAAAGUUGGGUUCAAAUCGAAAACAGCCGCAACAGCAGCAACAACGCCUAGCACACAGCACGCGGAUAAUAAUAAAAAGAAAAUAACACGCGCAGUUCGCAUCCAGUGUCCGACUUGAACAGAUCACAUCACUCUAGGUCCAGUCCCCGAGAAUUUUAUAAUCGAAGCUUCACCAUCACAAAUUGAAAAGUAAAAUCGAAUCGACUUCCGGCUUCGUAGUGUUUUCACAUUUUGCGCGUGUAAAUCAAUAUACAACCACAAAAACUCAGUGUCUCUACCGCACCUUCCGUUCUCUGAAAUAGCCAUAAUUACAAGAAAAGCAACAACAGCAAUAAAACCUAAAAAAAAUAUUGAUUUAAAAUAAAAUCAAGAGAUCCCCCACAAAAAAACUUAUAACAAAAACUUGACUUCCCAUCCAACUUCAACAACUCUGACUCGACACUUAAUUGCAAUUAGAAACCUACAAAGAAAUGCAGGACCAAACCCAUCAUAAAUGAAAUAAAUCCAGAGCUAAAAGCAACAAAAAUCCAAACGAAUUCCCUGGUAUUUUUCUAAGCCCAAACCGAUCCCCCUCCAAGACCCGCUCUGCCCAAAACCCAUCAGCCAUCAAAGCAUUACUGAAAAGAAACCAUUAAAAAUCAAAACAGAAAUCAAAAUAAAAACAAAAUAAAACCAUACGGAAAGGCACAAAAAAAGAAACACGCAAGAAUUGUUGCUAAAUCAAAAGAAUUUCAGUCGGUACAUAACAGUAUUUUAAAUUAUAUUUUUGAACUAGUAUAUGUACGAAAGAGAUAUUUACAAAAAUCGAGAUCCUGUUGAGACAAACGCGAAUAAAUUGAUGAUUUUAAAGAAAUUUAUAUAUUUAUAUAUUUGUAUGUUCGGUUGUUAGUUUUGAGCGUAAUUUAAAGACGAAUUUGCACGCAGAAAUAAAGUGGGAAAUCAAUUAACAAAGGUGACCACAAAGGGAAAGUCAGAAAGAGCGAGGAAAAAAUAAAGGUGAUAGCCAGGAAGGUCGAAGGUAGCCGCGAGAGUAUGCAAAGGUUGUUAAAUUGAAAAUUAAAUAUAAAUAUUUACAAGAAGAGAAAUAAAACCGUUAAAUAGCAACAUAUCAGAAUCAAUGGUCGGCAAUAAACAAUUGAAAGGCAAUCGAAAAAGGCUGCAGAUAUAAUCCAUUAAUAUCCAGAAUAACCGUCAAAUGAAAUAAAGUAGCCAAUUUGAAAAUCGAAAUACCUUUCCUUGCAUACCGAUUUAAUAUCGGUUGUAGGCAGAGUCAAUUUGUAAUUCUUAAGCAAGCAGCGUCAAUCAGAGACCCCCUCUCAAUCGUUCUCAAUCAACAUUUUUAUGUAACCACAGCAAGAGUUUUCCUAGCUUUGUCUCUAGCAUACAGUAAGGGGUUAACGUUUGUAAGGGAGUAGCGUUAAAGUGGGAUCGCCGGGUCUAAUCAAUGCCUCGACCGACAAGAAAUCGCGUUUUGACAAUCACACGAAAUUAGCGUAUUUCAUAUACACAUCAGAUAAACCGCCUUCGUGCGUAAUAUAGGAUAUAUAUACAUAUUCUCUACAGCAUAUAUUUAUAAAGAACUUUUGCUAGCUUUGGCACUUUACAGAUUCAUAAUCGAACCUCUAUUCUAUGACAAUCUCUAAGAGAACCUCUUUCCUCUAGAAACUUCGAGGCUUAAUCAAUCAAUCAAUCAAUCAAUCGAAGCGGUCUUUACAAUCUACAAUCAAUUUGCAAUCAAUCAGAACUUUAAACAAUCCUCAAACGGUUUUCAAAUAUCUAAACACAACCCAAAUAUCUAUUACCCAACCACAGUAGUGAUAUAUUAGCAUUAGCAUAUUAACAUUUUUAAAAAAACACUUAAAAUACGCUCAAAAUAAGAUUAAACUCAGUAGUCGUAGUCGUAUUAGCAGUUUUUUUCCGUCG